AGAGUUUGAUCCUGGCUCAGGAUGAACGCUGGCGGUGUGCUUAACACAUGCAAGUCGAACGAUUAACCCUUCUUCGGAAGGUUAUAGAGUGGCGAACGGGUGAGUAACACGUGACCAACCUACCUCUUAGAUUGGGAUAACUCAAAGAAAUUUAAGCUAAUACCAAAUACUUCGUUUAGAUCGCAUGGUCUUUACGAGAAAGCUUUUGCGCUAAGAGAUGGGGUCGCGGCCCAUUAGGUAGUUGGUGGGGUAACGGCCUACCAAGCCUACGAUGGGUAGCCGGGUUGAGAGACUGAUCGGCCACAUUGGGACUGAGAUACGGCCCAGACUCCUACGGGAGGCAGCAGUGGGGAAUUUUGCGCAAUGGGCGAAAGCCUGACGCAGCAACGCCGCGUGCGGGAUGACGGCCUUCGGGUUGUAAACCGCUUUCAGUGGGAAAGAUAAUGACGGUACCCACAGAAGAAGCUCCGGCUAACUACGUGCCAGCAGCCGCGGUAAUACGUAGGGAGCAAGCGUUAUCCGGAUUUAUUGGGCGUAAAGCGCGCGUAGGCGGCUUGUUAAGCAAGAUCUUAAACCUGGGGGCUCAACCUUCAGUUGGAUUUUGAACUGGCAGGCUCGAGUUUGGUAGAGGAAAGUGGAAUUCCCAGUGUAGCGGUGAAAUGCGCAGAUAUUGGGAAGAACACCGAUGGCGAAGGCAGCUUUCUGGGCCAUAACUGACGCUGAGGUGCGAAAGCUAGGGGAGCAAACAGGAUUAGAUACCCUGGUAGUCCUAGCCGUAAACGAUGGGCACUAGGUGUGGGGAAGCAUCUUCUCCGUGCCGCAGCUAACGCAUUAAGUGCCCCGCCUGGGGAGUACGGCCGCAAGGCUAAAACUCAAAGGAAUUGACGGGGGC
rnacentral:rRNA from 1 species